UACGGGGGGGGCAAGCGUUGUUCGGAAUUACUGGGCGUAAAGAGCUCGUAGGUGGUUUGUCGCGUUGUCCGUGAAAACUCACAGCUCAACUGUGGGCGUGCGGGCGAUACGGGCAGACUGGAGUACUGCAGGGGAGACUGGAAUUCCUGGUGUAGCGGUGGAAUGCGCAGAUAUCAGGAAGAACACCGGUGGCGAAGGCGGCUCUCUGGGCCUUACCUGACGCUGAGGAGCGAAAGCGUGGGUAGCGAACAGG
rnacentral:rRNA from 1 species